rnacentral:tRNA from 1 species
CCAGCCAUAGCUCAGUUGGUAGAGCGGAGGACUGUAGAGUUGGCGCAGGCAUCCUUAGGUCGCUGGUUCGAAUCCGGCUGGCUGGA